CCUACGUGCUGCAGCAGUGGGGAAUAUUGCACAAUGGGGGAAACCCUGAUGCAGCGACGCCGCGUGAGUGAAGAAGUAAUUCGUUAUGUAAAGCUCUAGCAGCAGGGAAGAAAAUGACGGUACCUGAGUAAGAAGCCCCGGCUAACGACGUGCCAGCAGCCGCGGUAAUACGUAGGGGGCAAGCGUUAUCCGGAUUGACUGGGUGUAAAGGGAGCGUAGACGGCAGGGCAAGUCUGGGUGAAAGGCGGGGGCCCAACCCCCGGAAUGCUCUGGGAAAUGUAUGGCUGGAGUGCAGGAGAGGUAAGUGGAAUUCCUGGUGUAGCGGUGAAAUGCGUAGAUAUUAGGAGGAACACCAGUGGCGAAGGCGGCUUACUGGACUGUAACUGACGUUGAGGCUCGAAAGCGUGGGGAGCAAACAGGAUUAGAUACCCGUGUAGUC
rnacentral:rRNA from 1 species